rnacentral:misc_RNA from 1 species
GUGAAUCAUCGAAUUUUUGAACGCAAAUUGCACUCUCUUCGGAGCGUAUGCCUGUUUGAGGGUCAGCCUAAAAAAAAUCGAUAUAGUCGCUGUUUCGUGGUGACAUUCGUCGGAAAUUGUGUCAUCUUAUACCUUUGGGUUUUAAGCGGUUUAAAAUUUUCUUUAUGAUUCCACGAGCGAUUCUAAGAUUUACUUCUUAUACGCUUAAGGUAAUCGAU